UGGAGUAUGGUCGCAAGGCUGAAACCAAAGGAAUUGACGGGGGGCUCACACAANCGGUGGAGGAUGUGGCUUAAUUCGAGCUACCGAAGAACCUUAUCCUGGUCUUGACAUGCACGGAUGGGCUACCUGAAAGGGAUAGUUCCGNCUUCGGGUGAAACGUGCACAGGUGCUGCAUGGCUGUCGUCAGCUCGUGUCGUGAGAUUCGGGUUAAGUCCCUUAACGAGCGAAACCCUUGUCCCUAGUUGCCAGCGGGUUAUGCCGGGACUCUAGGGAGACCGCCGGUGUUAAACCGGAGGAAGGUGGGGAUGACGUUAAGUCCUAUGGCCUUUAUGGCCAGGGCUGCACACGUCCUACAAUGCGGCGUACAAAGGGAAGCGAAUCGCGAGAGGGUGCAAAUCCCAAAAAGCGUCGCUCAGUUCGGAUUGCAGGCUGCAACUCCCUGCAUGAAGCUGGAAUCGCUAGUAAUCGCGGGUCAGCAUACCCDGGUGAAUGUGUUCUGGGCCUUGUACACACCGCCCGUCAAGCCACGAAAGUNGGGGGCCGCCGAAGUCGCCAACUAACUCGCAAGAGAGGCAGGCGCCGAAGCGGAACUCCGUGAUUGGGACU
rnacentral:rRNA from 1 species